AAUGGAGUUGUUGGAUCACAUGAUAACUGGGUGUUAGCUUUUUGUGGAAAUGCCAAAUUGUUUUCCAAAGUGGCUGCACAAAUUUACAUUUCCACCAGCAAU
rnacentral:pre_miRNA from 1 species